UGGAGAGUUUGAUCCUGGCUACAGGACGAACGCUGGCGGCGUGCUUAACACAUGCAAGUCGAACGGAAAGGCCCCUUCGGGGGUACUCGAGUGGCGAACGGGUGAGUAACACGUGGGUGAUCUGCCCUGCACUUUGGGAUAAGCCUGGGAAACUGGGUCUAAUACCGAAUAGGACCGCAUGCUUCAUGGUGUGUGGUGGAAAGCUUUUGCGGUGUGGGAUGGGCCCGCGGCCUAUCAGCUUGUUGGUGGGGUAAUGGCCUACCAAGGCGACGACGGGUAGCCGGCCUGAGAGGGUGUCCGGCCACACUGGGACUGAGAUACGGCCCAGACUCCUACGGGAGGCAGCAGUGGGGAAUAUUGCACAAUGGGCGCAAGCCUGAUGCAGCGACGCCGCGUGGGGGAUGACGGCCUUCGGGUUGUAAACCUCUUUCAGUAUCGGCGAAGCUCCAGGAUUUUUCUUGGGGUGACGGUAGGUACAGAAGAAGCACCGGCCAACUNCGUGCCAGCAGCCGCGGUA
rnacentral:rRNA from 1 species